rnacentral:tRNA from 1 species
CGGGGCAUAGCGCAGUGGUAGCGCGCAUCGUUCGGGACGAUGAGGUCGGCAGUUCGAGUCUGCCUGCCCCGA